rnacentral:rRNA from 1 species
AUGGCGACCAAGAGGUGCGCAGGCACCCUGGGUGACAAGGGCCUCAGGGGGGAGAAGGUGUUCCUUAGUGCCGAUCUGAACGUUCUGCUGGACGACGGCCUGAACAUCACUGGUGACAACCGCAUCCGCGCCUCCAUGCCGUCCAUCAAGUUCCUCAUGGGGAAGGGCGCCAAGGUUGUCCUGGCCAACCAUCUGGUGAGCGCACGCUUCUGCCAUUCAGUCAGCCUCCCGUGUGGCGCACGACUGUAG